rnacentral:misc_RNA from 1 species
CUAAAACCGCCGACGCAAGAGCCCACCAUUUUCCUUCCCAUUUUUUCUUUAUUUAUAAUCCGAAUUCCUACAAAGAACUUGUUUUAGAUUAGUUCUUGCAGAAAUCAGCUUCUGUUUCUUCUCUUUUCAGCAACCCAGCAGGGCUGGAUCAGGAUUUCAGAGAUCAGGGGUUUUGUUUCUUUGCAUUUAGUUCUAGUCGGAGAAUGGUGGGAUCGGAGAGUGAGAAGAAGAGCAGGACUGAGGGAAAGCCAUGGAGAUGGAUUAUGAUUGGUGCCGUCAUUGCUCUGAUUGUUGCUUUAACUACGGCUUCGAUUACUACCCCUAAGAUCUCUCUAUUCAGACACCCUUGUAGCUGCUCUCAGAAGUAUAGUGGGAUGGUGGAGGAUUGUUGUUGCGACUAUGAGACAGUGGACCGUCUUAAUGAAGAAGUGUUGUAUCCAUCUCUCCAAGAUCUCGUGAAAACCCCAUUUUUUCGAUACUUCAAGGUUAAGUUGGGGUGUGACUGCCCUUUCUGGCCUGACGAUGGCAUGUGCCACUUAAGGGAUUGCAGUGUUUGUGAAUGCCCAGAAAGUGAAUUCCCCAAAUCAUUUAGGACACCUUUCCAUCGAGGCCUUCCAUCAGAUGAUCUUCAAUGUCAAGAAGGAAAGCCUCAGGCUGCUGUUGAUCGUACCCUUGAUAGUAAAGCAUUUAGGGGAUGGACAGAAAUAGACAAUCCCUGGACAAAUGAUGAUGAGACUGACAAUGCUGAGAUGACAUAUGUGAAUCUUCAGUUGAACCCUGAACAAUACACUGGCUACUCUGGUCCAUCAGCUAGGAGGAUAUGGGAUGCUGUUUACUCUGAGAACUGCCCCAAAUAUCCAUCUGAAGAGUUGUGUCAAGAGGAAAGGAUAUUGUACAAGUUGAUAUCUGGUCUUCACUCCUCUAUUUCAAUUCACAUAGCAGAUCGUUAUCUACUUGACAAAUCUAAAAACUUGUGGGGCUGCAAUGCUACAUUGAUGUAUGAUCGGGUUUUAAGAUACCCUGAUCGUGUUAGAAACCUGUACUUCACUUACCUUUUUGUUCUCCGAGCUGUUAUGAAGGCUCAAGAUUACUUGGAACAAGCUGAAUAUGACACUGGUAAACCUACUGAGGACCUCAAGGCACAUUCCUUGAUGAGACAACUACUCUAUAACCCAAACCUUCAAGCAGCAUGCCUACUCCCAUUUGAUGAAGCUAAGUUGUGGAAGGGUCAACAUGGACCCAAACUGAAACAGAAGAUUCAAGAACAAUCCAGAAACAUUAGUGCAUUGAUGGACUGUGUAGGCUGUGAGAAGUGCCGACUUUGGGGAAAGCUUCAGGUUCUUGGUCUAGGUACUGCACUGAAAAUUCUCUUCUCUGAUAAUGGCUGGGAUCACUUGGGUCAGAUUUUGCAGUUACAAAGGAAUGAAGUGAUUGCCCUGAUGAAUCUCCUUAAUCGACUAUCAGAAUCUGUCAAACUUGUUCACGAAAUGGGCCCUGGUGUUGAAAUGAUCAUGGAAGGACAAAUUGCUGCACCUACAGCUUCAAGUAGCCUAUGGCAAAGAAUGCGAACAUUGUUAUUUAAAUCAUAGGUAAUUACAAAUUCAAAUGUUUGGCUGAUGAUGUUUCUAAAUUGAAGUGUACUUAUUGUUUUGUUGCUUGCAGCAAAUGGUAAUCCACUGAUGAGAACUCAACAUUGAAGCCAAACACGCAUACAAAAGAUAGAUUAGGAAAACCAUAAUCAAAGUUAAAAGGAAAUGUUGCCGUGGACAGAAUACAACAGGAAUGUAGAAGAGUAAUCUUGAGAAGUAUAGUGUUGGCGAAUUGUAUUUAUUUUCUUGUAAGCCAGUAUGCAGAGUGUCUUUCAGUGUUGGACAUUUUGAAAUCCUCGUUAAAAUGAAAAGGACAAUUGUUAGGACCGAAUCGUUUGAGCUAUGACCACCUGGAAUUAGUUCUCUUUCUUAUCAUUUUUUUCAUAUUGUUGAAUGCAAACUGCAAAUUGCAUUUAUGCAUUUGAAACAAAUAAAUGCAACGCCAAGUAU